rnacentral:rRNA from 1 species
CGGGAGGCUGCAGUGGGGAAUAUUGCGCAAUGGGGGAAACCCUGACGCAGCGACGCCGCGUGCGGGAAGAAGGCCUUCGGGUCGUAAACCGCUGUCAGGAGGGAAGAAACUGUUAGGGUAUAAUACGCCCUUUCACUGACGGUACCUCCAAAGGAAGCACCGGCUAACUCCGUGCCAGCAGCCGCGGUAAUACGGAGGGUGCGAGCGUUAAUCGGAAUCACUGGGCGUAAAGCGCACGUAGGCGGCGCAUCAAGUCAGGCGUGAAAGCCCUCGGCUCAACCGGGGAAUUGCGUUUGAAACUGGUGCGCUGGAGUCUCGGAGAGGUUGGCGGAAUUCCAGGUGUAGGAGUGAAAUCCGUAGAUAUCUGGAGGAACACCGGUGGCGAAGGCGGCCAACUGGACGAGAACUGACGCUGAGGUGCGAAAGCGUGGGUAGCAAACAGGAUUAGAUACCCGUGUAGUC